UGGAGAAGGGAAGGCUCCAGGGACACCUUAUAGCAGCAUUUCAAUACUUAAAGGGGGCUUGUAAGAAAGACAAAGACUUUUGCCAGGGCCUGCAGUGACAGGGCAAGGGACAAUGGUUUUAAACUGAAAGAGGGUAGAUUUACAUUGGAUAAGGAAGAAAUUUUUUU